UCCUAUCUUUACCAAAUUUCAUAAUUCCCUAUCCCUUUGUAAACUUAUAACACAAGUCAAGUUUCAGCGAAAUCGGUGUAGGUUAACUAUUAUUCACCUGCCUCCAUAUAGUCGAAACACUGUGCGUAAUUGCUCCCGCUUAGAUAGCAUAACUUAAUGCUCAGCAAACAGUUUCUGGUUGGAAUCCGAAUACACUUGCAUGAAGCUGAUUUCCAUCUGGGGACGUCAGAAGGCAUCUCCACGAACUCACGGAUGAGAUCAUACAUAUGAAUGGAACUCAAUCACUGCACCCGACAGGCCCUAAGCGACAUCCAUAGAGAGUCGAUUACCACUUUCAAAGACCCUCGCUCCAUGAAUGUCUUUAUAACUGCACAGUCGUCAUGAAGAGAGCUUUAGCUGUCGCUGGAGACACGCGUAUCUCUGACAGAAUUACCGAACCAAUGGUAAAUAAUAAGAAAAUUUAGCUUCUGAAAUGGUCCGAACGGUCUAUGCGGAGAUUUUGAGUGAAAAUGAGACAACAAAUUUCACCAUAUUCUAUAAGGAUGCACCGGUUGGUCCUAAUGUCACUGAAUUCUCUUUCAAACUUAAGUGUAAAACAUCGUUUUUUUCGCUGAAAUUGUGGCUUUUACGGAGCACUAGAAAUAGCAAAGGCCAGUCAUUUGUAAAAAUGAACACCACCAACCAUGUAAUUUAUAAAAUAUGUACAUAUCUUUACUAAUGGAGACCGAGUUGCAAUUGUAUGGACACCAAGCCAGGAAACGAAAAAGCAGACAGUCUAGCGAAUGCGUUGAGUGGGGACAAUGUAAUGCAGGUAAAAUGCUCGGUCGACGAAGCACUUAGACAAACUAGGAAUCAGAUAAAGAAAAGUUGUUAUGAAUGCUCUAGAAAUAAGCCGAACCUAUUCACUGGCAUUUUCGAGAGGCGGACUAACAAGACAUGGUUCCAUAAAUGCACGUUGAGCGAAAACAAA